AUUGAACGCUGGCGGCAGGCUUAACACAUGCAAGUCGAGCGGUAGCACAAGAGUGCUUGCUCUCUUGGUGACGUGCGGAGUACGUGUGGGUAAUGUCUGUGAAACUUCCUGAUGGUGGGGGAUAACUACUGGAAACGGUAGCUAAUACCGCCUAACGUCGCAAGACCAAAGAGGGGGACCUUCGGGCCUCUUGCCAUCAGAUGUGCCCAGAUGUGAUUAGCUAGUAGGUGGGGUAAUUGCUCACCUAGGCGACGAUCCCUAGCUGGUAUGAGAGGAUGACCAGCAACACGGGAACUGAGACACGGUCCAGACACCGAAGGGAGGCAGCAGUGGGGAAUAUUGCACAAUGGGCGAAAGCCUGAUGCAGCAAUGCCGCGUGUGUGAAGAAGGACUUCGGGUUGUAAAGCACAGUCAGAGAGGAGGAAGGUGGUGAACUUAAUACGUUCAGCAAUUGACGUUACUCGAAGAAGAAGCACCGGCUAACUACGUG
rnacentral:rRNA from 1 species